rnacentral:rRNA from 1 species
UACGGAGGGUGCAAGCGUUAUUCGGAAUUACUGGGCGUAAAGCGCGUGCAGGCGGCUUGGAAAGUCUGAUGUGAAAGCCCCGGGCUUAACCUGGGAAGUGCAUUGGAAACUCUCAAGCUUGAGUACUGGAGAGGAAGGGAGAAUUCCCGGUGUAGAGGUGAAAUUCGUAGAGAUCGGGAGGAACACCAGUGGCGAAGGCGCCCUUCUGGACAGAUACUGACGCUGAGGUGCGAAAGCGUGGGGAGCAAACAGG